rnacentral:piRNA from 1 species
UAGACAGCUUUGCCUUCCCUCAAUGUUUUCU